GCAGUUUGGAAUGUGCUUCGUACGACGGUAUUUACUCUUUCUUCCACAUUGUCGAAUAUUUUUAUUUUGAACUUGCCCUGCGGAGAAUUGGUUCAGUCAUUUGUGAAUGAGGUGAGAGGGCCCCCCAUUUCACUCUUCCUCGCACAUUACAUACAUGCAUACAACUUCUUUCAUUGACUUGUGUCUUCCGUGGCGGCAACACGCAAUGUCUCUCUACUCAAUGUGGAUGAUGAUGAAGAAGAGGAUGAAGAACCCCAAAAGUGAAGGAGAUGGAAAACCUUCACGACAUAGGCAGAGAGAGGUGGAGAGAUAAGGUUUAAAAGAAAACGAAAAAUAAAAUAAAGAGAGAAGAAAUCAUACGCAAGAAGUUGAAGGAACACGGCGCCAGAGCAACAAUUUCAUUUUAUAACUUCUUGUACAAAUGGCAUCACACAGUCACAGUCAAAGAGAGCAGAGACCCAUUCAAAUGAGACACAUUUCUAUGCAAAUUCUCACUUCAACCCAUCCUGCCAAUCAUCUUUUGUAAAGCAUUUAUAUUCCCAUUCAUGGAUCAUCGCAAAAUUUUUCAACCAUUUGUUGUUAUAUACAUAACAAAAAAGUCAGACCAAAAAGAGAGGGUGAAGAAGGAAAUUAACAAAUAAAAAAAAACUCAAGAAGAAAUCCAAUUGAGAUGAAAUGAUGAGGAAUUGAAAGUGUUAGUAGUAGCAAGUUGCUCAUUUUAAUUCCUCCUUCAUCUCUUUCGUUUUUUCUUCUCUUCUUAUUGUCAUUCACAUCGUAGAAGAGAAUAAUAAUAAUAACAUAAAAAAACCUCCAUCUAAAGUGCUAUGCUCCAUCAAUGACACCUCUUUUUGGGCAAACUCCACGUAACUGUCUCCCAUCCGGAUAGAUCUCUCAUUCUCCUGCGCACAUUAAAAGACAAUAUUCUUCCAUGUCGAGAGGUCGUGCUGCUGGAUUGAGUGAAUGAGGAAUAUUUAGUCAGUUAAUUAACCUUCUCAAUCCACCCUCGGAAAAACCAUGAGACUUCCACAUUUUUGUAUGCCAACAACGGCACAACAGCCUGACAUAUAGUAUGCAGAAGGUGAUGAAACAACAUCAAAGAACUCCAAAAUGCCAAAAGAAAUCUAACUGCCCAUCUGCAGUGUCCCCCCCCACACCCCCUGUAAGAACAAUGGAAAAUACAGUCAACCGUACACAAGUGGAAAAUGCAAAAAAAAAAAAAAGAAAAAAGCUCUAAAACUAUGACGACGACCAGUUAGUGGCGCCCACACCCUUUCCCAUGGCACUUUUGCAUCACAAACACAACAUACUCUACUCAUAUAAAUGGCCUCACAAUGCCACACCGCCGGAGCAACAUUCAACUCCAACAAACGGAUAGUUGCUAUAAGGUAUACCUCCCCAGGUGCAUUCACGUAAUCGGCACAAUUUUGCUGUGACAACACCACACCAUCAUCCGAGGAAAAUGACGGAAAAACGAGGAGAGAAAAUGUUGUGUUGAGGAUGGUUCAAAAGAAAAUCAAAAUCAAAUGGGUAUGUCGUCAGUUUCAAAUGAUGGUGGGUGGUUGGAAAAAAAAGAGGAAGAAUCUAACGUAACCUGCUAUUCAGCUAAUGAUUUUUUAGUUGAAUAUUGAUUAAAGAAUUUACCUCCUCAUUUUAUUUUUCUUCUAAAUAAUAAAAUACUACACUGUCAUUCAAAUUUUAGUAAAGUGCUACAAUUUUUAAGAUAUUGACUUGAAAACCAAAUAAAACUUUUUGAGUUUACGUAUCUUUUGGUGGCAGAAGUUUUCAGAUAUCUUAAUCCAAUCAAAAGUUAUUCGCGUUUAAAAUCAUGCCCUAAUUUCCUGGUCACCCUGUAUAAUUGGAAAUUUUAGUCAUUUUGACUUGACUCACUAAACUGUUUAGUUCUCUUCACUAAAGUUUGUUUUUUCUUAGUGCUGGUAACUAAAAUUUUUAAUUUUAUACCCUUAAAACUUAAAACUAAACUUUAGUAGCCAAUUUAGUCAAAUUAUUCACUAAAGUUUCCAGUAAAUACAUAACUACUAAAUUCUUUAGUUCUGUCAACUAGAAUUUUAGUAGAACCUUUUUUUAUUAAAAUUUUCUAAUAAAGUUUCGUCAGUGCUAGUUUUAGUACUGGCAACGAAAAUUUGAAUGACAGUGUAUUUUGGCUCAAAUAAAAUUAUUUCUUCUUUGAAAUUGUUUAAUUAUUCAUUUCAUGUAAAGUAAUUACUUCCAGACACAACAAUUUCACUAAUUAGAUGAUUUUUUUUAGAAAAGAAAUUCAUGGAAUGGUUUAAUUUGUCAUUUCAAGUCUUGUGGAUUGUAUUUGAUCUCAAUUUUCUGUUCAUUGUUUCUUUAAAAAAAUAAAUAAUUUUAAGAAAACUCGAAGAAUCUUCUUGAA